rnacentral:rRNA from 1 species
UACGGAGGGUGCGAGCGUUGUCCGGAUUUAUUGGGUUUAAAGGGUGCGUAGGCGGCCUCAUAAGUCCGGGGUGAAAGCCCGUUGCUCAACAACGGAACUGCCCUGGAUACUGUGAGGCUUGAGUACAGACGAGGUUGGCGGAAUGGACCGAGUAGCGGUGAAAUGCAUAGAUACGGUCCAGAACCCCGAUUGCGAAGGCAGCUGACUAGGCUGUUACUGACGCUGAGGCACGACAGCGUGGGGAGCGAACAGG